rnacentral:rRNA from 1 species
UACGUAGGGUGCAAGCGUUGUCCGGAAUUAUUGGGCGUAAAGAGCUCGUAGGCGGUCUGUCGCGUCGGAUGUGAAAACCCAGGGCUCAACCCUGGGCCUGCAUUCGAUACGGGCAGACUAGAGUUCGGUAGGGGAGACUGGAAUUUCUGGUGUAGCGGUGAAAUGCGCAGAUAUCAGGAGGAACACCGGUGGCGAAGGCGGGUCUCUGGGCCGAUACUGACGCUGAGGAGCGAAAGCAUGGGUAGCGAACAGG